UACGGAGGGGGCUAGCGUUGUUCGGAAUUACUGGGCGUAAAGCGUACGUAGGCGGCUUUGUUAGUUAGAGGUGAAAGCCCGGGGCUCAACUCCGGAAUUGCCUUUAAGACUGCAUCGCUUGAAUCAUGGAGAGGUGAGUGGAAUUCCGAGUGUAGAGGUGAAAUUCGUAGAUAUUCGGAAGAACACCAGUGGCGAAGGCGACUCACUGGACAUGUAUUGACGCUGAGGUACGAAAGCGUGGGGAGCAAACAGG
rnacentral:rRNA from 1 species